rnacentral:rRNA from 1 species
UACGGAGGGGGCAAGCGUUGUUCGGAAUUACUGGGCGUAAAGGGCGCGCAGGCGGCUGCUCAAGUCAGGCGUGAAAGGCCUGGGCUCAACCCGGGAAUUGCGCUUGAGACUGGGCUGGCUUGAGUGUGGCAGAGGGGGGUGGAAUUCCGCGUGUAGCAGUGAAAUGCGUAGAGAUGCGGAGGAACACCGAUGGCGAAGGCAGCCCCCCUGGGCUAACACUGACGCUCAGGCACGAAAGCGUGGGGAGCAAACAGG